ACUUAGACAGACUAUGAAGAGAUACAUAGGGUGAGAAACGGAGGCCUUCAGCCAACAGCUGGGAGAAGCUGAGUCCCAUCAGCCAUUCAAAAGACUGCAGCCCCAGCCAAGAGUUUGAUGUAACCUCAGGAGAGACCCUGAGCCAGAACCACCUAGGCCAACGAGCUAUACCUAGUGAUUCCAAAGUCCACAUAUAUUUACUCUGUUCUCACUGUACAAAGUAACCACUCUGAAGUCAAAAAAGCUGGGAUACAUGAAGACUGCCAUCCCUUGAGUCACUUGCCCUGUAGCUGCCACUGUUGGAAAAGGGCUUGCUUCUGUGUCCUUGUGCCCACUUUGAAAAUCCCUGGGAAGUCCUUGGAGUCAGAUGAGCAGGCCUCCGCCACUCUGCCAAAAAGUCUGUUCAGAAGUUUCACAUCACUAGAGAAGAGAGAAGAAGGACAUUUGUACUGGGAGGAGUCGACCGGUCCCAGUAAGGAGAAAGUAGCUACAGCGUCAUGGGUGAGCUGGGUCCCCCAAAAAGGAACUUUAAGGGAAUGGACUGAAUCAAGUCUGAGAUGUCCCCAAAGCAAGACCAAAGAACUGAGGAAGAGAAGCAUUCAUCAGAAACCAAAAUUCAGCUACAAGUGAGCAUCCAGAUGGAGGUAUUAUGAAGAGGAACUGAGACUGAGGGCAAAAGGUGCCAGCCAGAAUCCUGGAUAGGAGAGCAAGAACCAGGACCUCAUUUAAGAGACAACCUGCUUAAGGCAGAGUAAGCACAAAUGGGCACUCAACAUCAAUGAAGUAACAGCAAAGUCACAUAAUAAAAGCAUGGAAUUAAGACAAGCUGAAGAUUCGGAUGCAAUAAAACAACCACCCAUUAUUA
rnacentral:lncRNA from 1 species